GCUAGUUUUGAAGGACCCGACGAGACGCGCCGUACCGGGUGAAGGCAAAGACGACGCACC
rnacentral:ncRNA from 1 species